AACAAACUUAAAAUCUAUUCCAUUUAAGGUGGUCCUAAGUUGAAAACAGUGUACUUGUGACGUAAUUACCGGAAAGGUCUAUUGCGAGAAAGGCGCGAGCUAGAUAAAUCUGCUAGUGUGGCUAAACAUACUUGGACUUAUAACUAUCGUAUAAGAUGGGCCAAAGCAAUCAUUUUGGCAAUUGAUAAUAUUAAUAAUAAGUUCUCUGGCAAAAUGAGGAAGCGA